ACUGUCUGAGUGCAGAGAUGUUCUUUACAAUCCCAAUACAGUACAGAUUUCUUCCCCAAAACGAAAUGAGCAAGGAAAAACAGAAAAAGAGCUAUAUCAAAUGUGCUCAUGAAGAACCAAGCCAAUCUCACCUUUCUUUAAAAACAAAACAAAACGAUCCUUUUGAAUGUGUGGUGCAGACGCAGGACUGAAGCCACAGGCUUUUGGGGUGCUGUGAGCCCAGGGCUUUGCUCAGCUCACAGCUAGCGCGGCGGGCAGAGCAACCCUUCGGCCCAAGCCAUCCUCGCAGCUUACACAGAAGCUUCCUGAACCUAAGGGAUCCGUUCCCAGCUCUCCUUAAAUUCCCAGUCCCCACCCUGGGCCUCUCUCCCUAACGAUCUUGUCGCUUUGGGAGCCCCUGAAGUGAACCCUGAAAUACUCCCUCCGUCAACUCUGGGCUCAGACCUUUGCCCUUCUCUGUGUCACAAGGAAAUUUCGGUCAAGAGGGUGGGAACAGGUGGUUUCAGACCGUGCAGCAAAGCCACUGCCAGGUAAGUUUUAAGGCAAAUUUUAUCUCUUCUUAUUCAGUCUGAGCCGGACCUAACCUUCUCACCACCGAGCAAUCC
rnacentral:lncRNA from 1 species